CAUAACUUACGCACGACUAUAAAUCGCCCUUAAUGUCAGACACCAAACGGUCUGCGCAGCGCCGCAUGAAGUCCAAUAUGCCUCUGUAAAAAAUGGUUUGGUCAAUUCAACAAACCGGUUUGUGUUUGUGUAUGUAACUGGCGGUCGUUAUGGGAAAUAUGAGCGAUAUGGAUGGCAAAUUAAAGUCAAGUGCAUGAGGAACAUCGUCAAGUCCCACAGGUGAAAGCGAGAUGGACAUCCACAGAGGAAGUCAUAUGAGUUUGAAAUGACAUAAGGAUUCCUCUUGCUCAAGGCUGCCGUCGACUCCAACGUAUUGACGACCAGUUUGCCUCCCCAGACGAAUGCAUUAGUAAUCUGCAAGCGAGGCCGUGUGGAGAAGAAAGAGAGAGAGAAAGGGAGAAAGAGAGAGAGAGAGAGCAUCUUACUGCACUCUGCAAACAUCAACAGGCAUGUACCAUAUUCAUCGACCUUAUCAGAAUGAUGCUCAUCAGGGGCCUGGGCUCUUAUGGCCCUCAGCCUGGCUCCAGCAGUCCCGCUCUGCCUUAUUAGUGUGCCGGUGAGGCCUUCUUAUCACCAUGGCAAUCUGCUGCUCAUAAACAAUGCAGCAGCCAUGGGAGAUCCACCUGGACCAGAGGAGACAGAGAGAUUGAGGUGUUGAAGACAUGAGCAAUGAGGCAUGUGCACUUUCUCUCUCUCACACACAUACACUUACAUAAUAUGCACUGAUCCACUGAGAUUGAUUUUCUGAAAUUAUCAGAGAGAAGGGACAACCAUUUCCUUUCCCUACUUUGAUCCACAUUACAUUUGAGAGUCUGUAUUCACUGGAGAAUACGGUUGUUACAGUAUAUGUACAGUAGUGCUUGAUACAUUUACUGUAAAUACAUAGACAUGUCAGUUAAUAAAGACUAUAUUAUAAU